GUCUGCUUAGCUCAGUGGGAGAGCGACGGUCUGAAGUGUAGUGUUCAAUAAGCACUAUGGUGAGGAUACCGCAGGUCUCCUGUUCGAUCCAGGAAGUGGACA